CAGCAGCCGCGGGAAUACGAAGGGGGCUAGCGUUGUUCGGAAUUACUGGGCUUAAAGCGCGUGUAGGCGGAUCGCCACGUCGGUCGCUGAAAUCCCCCGGCUCAACCGGGGAACGGGCGCCGAUAUGGGCGGUCUCGAGGGGGGUAGGGGGGACUGGAACUUCCGGUGGAGCGGUGAAAUGCGUUGAGAUCGGAAGGAACGCCCGUGGCGAAAGCGAGUCCCUGGACCCUUUCUGACGCUGAGACGCGAAAGCCAGGGGAGCGAACGGGAUUAGAUACCCCUGUAGUCCCUGUCUCUUAUA
rnacentral:rRNA from 1 species